rnacentral:rRNA from 1 species
AACGAACGCUGGCGGCAGGCCUAACACAUGCAAGUCGAGCGAGACCUUCGGGUCUAGCGGCGGACGGGUUAGUAACGCGUGGGAACGUGCCCUUCUCUGCGGAAUAGCCACUGGAAACGGUGAGUAAUACCGCAUACGCCCUUCGGGGGAAAGAUUUAUCGGAGAAGGAUCGGCCCGCGUUAGAUUAGAUAGUUGGUGGGGUAACGGCCUACCAAGUCUACGAUCUAUAGCUGGUUUUAGAGGAUGAUCAGCAACACUGGGACUGAGACACGGCCCAGACUCCUACGGGAGGCAGCAGUGGGGAAUCUUAGACAAUGGGCGCAAGCCUGAUCUAGCCAUGCCGCGUGUGUGAUGAAGGUCUUAGGAUCGUAAAGCACUUUCGCCAGGGAUGAUAAUGACAGUACCUGGUAAAGAAGUCCCGGCUAACUCCGUG